rnacentral:rRNA from 1 species
GACGAACGCUGGCGGCGUGCUUAACACAUGCAAGUCGAACGGAAAGGCCCUGCUUUUGUGGGGUGCUCGAGUGGCGAAAGGGUGAGUAACACGUGAGUAACCUGCCCUUGACUUUGGGAUAACUUCAGGAAACUGGGGCUAAUACCGGAUAGGAGCUCCUGCUGCAUGGUGGGGGUUGGAAAGUUUCGGCGGUUGGGGAUGGACUCGCGGCUUAUCAGCUUGUUGGUGGGGUAGUGGCUUACCAAGGCUUUGACGGGUAGCCGGCCUGAGAGGGUGACCGGCCACAUUGGGACUGAGAUACGGCCCAGACUCCUACGGGAGGCAGCAGUGGGGAAUAUUGCACAAUGGGCGGAAGCCUGAUGCAGCAACGCCGCGUGCGGGAUGACGGCCUUCGGGUUGUAAACCGCUUUCGCCUGUGACGAAGCGUGAGUGACGGUAAUGGGUAAAGAAGCACCGGCUAGCUACGUG